GGCCCAAAUCUUAAGUAAGGUAGUUUAUUAAGGUCAGCUGAUCCUACUGUUCUACUGUACUUCGAAAUUGGGCCC
rfam:Haemonchus contortus, ISE/inbred ISE, WGS project CAVP01000000 data, contig: Hcontortus_37787